rnacentral:rRNA from 1 species
UACGUAGGGUGCGAGCGUUGUCCGGAAUUAUUGGGCGUAAAGGGCUCGUAGGCGGUUUGUCGCGUCGGGAGUGAAAACGCCGUGCUUAACACGGCGCUUGCUUUCGAUACGGGCAGACUAGAGGUAUGCAGGGGAGAACGGAAUUCCUGGUGUAGCGGUGAAAUGCGCAGAUAUCAGGAGGAACACCGGUGGCGAAGGCGGUUCUCUGGGCAUGACCUGACGCUGAGGAGCGAAAGCGUGGGGAGCAAACAGG